AGAUGGUGGUAAAGGACAGUGUCAGACAAAUGUCACCAUUGCGCUCUUCCUCGUCCUCACUAGGAUGAAGUGGGGCAUGGUUAAAAGGGAUGGGAGAGGAGCAGAGCGAGAAAGAGCAUAGAAAGGGGGUUACUGCAGGCGAGCCUGCGGCCUCACAGGGAAGCCAGCCUCACUGCCUGCCCCGUGCGCUCCUGGCCGCUUCCAGAACAACCAUAAACCGUAUCAGUCUCACUGGAAGCUCUUCCUGAGCAAAGACGCGUUCUGAGACAGGAGCAAAGCAGAGACCUCUAAUCGAAGACAUGAGGGACAGCUGAGGUGCGAGACCCAUGAGGUCAGAAACUGCCUACCCUCACAGAGGAAACCUCCGUGUGCAGUUGAGACCUUUGCUUCAUUUAUCUGAAUUCUGGAAGAUGUUCAGUAUGAUCUGCCUCCUACUGAAGUCCAUGUACUUUGGCA